AUUGGACUAGAUCCAUGUUGAGGUGAGUCACGUCUGAUUGGACUAGAUCCAUGUUGAGGUGAGACACGUCUGAUUGGACUAGAUCCAUGUUGAGGUGAGACACGUCUGAUUGGACUAGAUCCAUGUUGAGGUGAGACACGUCUGAUUGGACUAGAUCCAUGUUGAGGUGAGACACGUCUGAUUGGACUAGAUCCAUGUUGAGGUGAGACACGUCUGAUUGGACUAGAUCCA